AUUGAACGCUGGCGGCAGGCCUAACACAUGCAAGUCGAACGAGUGGCGGACGGGUGAGUAAUGUCUGGGAAACUGCCCGAUGGAGGGGGAUAACUACUGGAAACGGUAGCUAAUACCGCAUACCAUCGGAUGUGCCCAGAUGGGAUUAGCUAGUAGGUGUGGUAACGGCUCACCUAGGCGACGAUCCCUAGCUGACCUGAGAGGCUGACCGGCCACACUGGAACUGAGACACGGUCCAGACGCCUACGGGAGGCAGCAGUGGGGAAUAUUGGACAAUGGGCGCAAGUCUGACACAGCCAUGCCGCGUGUAUGAAGAAGGCCUUCGGGUUGUAAAGUACUGUCAGCGAGGAGGCGUUACUCGCAGAAGAAGCACCGGCUAACUCCGUGCCAGCAGCCGCGGUAAUAC
rnacentral:rRNA from 1 species